rnacentral:lncRNA from 1 species
ACAGAUCACACAUAGACAAAUCAUAUAUCACACCUAGGUUCAUCAUAAACAUAUACAAGAAGAAGUUGCUGAAUAUACAGACUUGCACAGACCGCUCCUGGCUACUACUAGGUUCAGUGAAAAUAAACACAUCACCUCGUGCAUUUUUGGGCUAAACAAUCUAAGGACAUUUUAUGAGAACUCAUCCGCUUCAACAACUUUCAGACAGUUGUUCUCAUGGAAACCACGAGUACUCUUCUACCUCCUCGAGAUUUCGUUUGGACAAGUACGUGAGCAAGACCACCGAUGAAAGAACCUGCAUUGACAACCAUUGGUGCUGGCCUUCGUUGAUGCAUCACGUAUCAACAUUUCUCUUCCUUGAGCCCUGUCAUUCAGUCACUGUCCCAACCUUCAUCAGUAUUCUUCUCCGUUGCCAAUGUUUUCCCUCUUGUCAUCACUAUCCUCACUGCUGCUGUCAAAAUUCGGGAAACUCGCCUUUGGGGCUCUUGAGUUCGCCUCUUCCCCCUUGUAAUCUGACACCCACAAGUCAUCGUCAUCAGCGUCUAACUCAUCACCGUUGCUGCUGCCUCUGGACAUAGUGCCAUCGGAAAGCAUCGACUGAACUCCCUGGAAUCCGAUUAGACCCUCUGCAUCCCCUAGGAACAGAAAUCUCUCUGCCACUGGAUCUGCUCCUCUCAUUCCUCAUCGGAAGCAUACCCUCUCAUCCUCGUCACCACCGGCCACGGCCGGCCUCCACCGCCGCCUGCACACCGCUCGCUACUCUCGCCCCCCUUCCAUAUCCAUCAAGAACAAGAAAAAAAUGAGGAUGGGAGAGCUCAAUACUCACCGGUGAGAAGGUGCCGGGGAGGCUUGCCGUCGGGGCUGCGCGGCGCCGGCCCGCCGUCACCUCGCGCCGCCACGCAGUGACCUCGCACCGUCCUCAUGCGUCGCCAACGUCUCGCCGUCGCUUUGGCCAGGAAUCGAUCCGGAGGAGACGAGGCCAGGGUUUGUGCCGGUC